rnacentral:lncRNA from 1 species
CGCAACGAGGUAGGUUAUAGAUUUGAUCAUUAGAGGACGAGAGUGACAAUGAGAACUAAUGACCAAUAUUGCAGUUAACCUUUGCUAGCUAUAGCGGUAUAAAACGUAACUAAUAAGGAAAUAAUAUUGAUCAAGUUGAAGGCUAGGAAAUAAUAUAUGUUCUGCAUUAGCAUGCCAAGAGCAAAAGGGAGAGCAGAAAAUUGAAAAGAAAAAUUACCAGCUCGAAUGGAUCUCUUUUCAAGUGGAAACCAUGCAUGCUUUUCAUGAAGUGCUUGUGCUCGAUCAGCCAUUGAUGCAGCUAAAAAAAACAAUUGAAAGAGUGUGAAUCAACAAUCCCGGCCCCUUCAACUAUUGGGUGUGAAGCAUGCUGUUCUAGACUUCUAGUUGCAUCAUACCGAUACAACACAAUAGAAGUUUAUUACUAUGACAAACUGACAACAUUGUAAGGUAAAAGUCGCAAGACUAGUGUUAUUACAACUUCACCAAAACUGAUCAUCAGUAAUUAAAAAAACAAAAAAAAAACCAGUUUAUUGCCAUGCAAGCUCUGAUAGAGAUCGACGACCGGCGACGACGUCCGUCGAGCUUCAUUCGACUCUCAUACAAUUGUCGUCUAAUUGUCGACUGAUUAACUGUUCCGAUUGCUUCUCUCCCUUAAUGAAUCAAAGCCGGUCCAGAAGCAACAGCAACAACUGCGUACGUAUAAGAUUUACAUAUAAGAUUGAAGUAGCUAGCUACUUAUUAUAUGAUGGACUUGGAAUAACUAUGAACUAAUACCCCGUGAAUUCACAAUAGGAAAAGAAGUUACUCACCAUGCAAAGAGAACGGCUCCAACAAUAGCCACGAUGACUUCUAGGACGCAGCUAGUCAUAUCUGAUUUUUGAUAAGCAAUGUCUCCCUCUAAUAAUCCUCUAAUAAUGUACACAAUGCAUUAUGGGUUUCUGCUCCUGAUCGAAUG